rnacentral:rRNA from 1 species
AGAGUUUGAUCCUGGCUCAGGAUGAACGCUGGCGGUCUGCCUAACACAUGCAAGUCGAACGGGGUAGCAAUACCUAGUGGUGGACGGGUGAGUAACGCGUGAGAAUCUGGCUUCAGGUCGGGGACAACAACUGGAAACGGUUGCUAAUACCGGAUGUGCCGAAAGGUGAAAGCUUUAGUGCCUGAAGAUGAGCUCGCGUCUGAUUAGCUAGUUGGAGUGGUAAGAGCACACCAAGGCGACGAUCAGUAGCUGGUCUGAGAGGAUGAGCAGCCACACUGGGACUGAGACACGGCCCAGACUCCUACGGGAGGCAGCAGUGGGGAAUUUUCCGCAAUGGGCGAAAGCCUGACGGAGCAAGACCGCGUGAGGGAGGAAGGCCUUUGGGUUGUAAACCUCUUUUAUUAAGGAAGAAGAAAUGACGGUACUUAAUGAAUAAGCAUCGGCUAACUCCGUGCCAGCAGCGCGGUAAUACGGAGAUGCGAGCGUAUCGGAAUUAUUGGGCGUAAAGAGUCCGUAGGCGUGAGACAAGUCUCCUGUCAAAGAAUGGGGCUUAACCCCAUAAAGGCAGAGGAAACUGUAACACUAGAGUCUAGGAGGGGUAGAGGGAAUUCCCAGUGUAGCGGUGAAAUGCGUAGAGAUUGGGAAGAACACCGGUGGCGAAAGCGCUCUACUGGACUAGAACUGACGCUGAGGGACGAAAGCUAGGGUAGCGAAAGGGAUUAGAUACCCCUGUAGUCCUAGCCGUAAACGAUGGAUACUAGGCGUAGCCUGAAUCGACCCAGGCUGUGCCGAAGCAAACGCGUUAAGUAUCCCGCCUGGGGAGUACGCACGCAAGUGUGAAACUCAAAGGAAUUGACGGGGGCCCGCACAAGCGGUGGAGUAUGUGGUUUAAUUCGAUGCAACGCGAAGAACCUUACCAAGACUUGACAUCCGACGAAUCUUUUUGAAAAGAAAGAGUGCCUAAAGGAGCGUCCUGACAGGGGGGGCAUGGCUGUCGUCAGCUCGCGUCGUGAGAUGUUGGGUUAAGUCCCGCAACGAGCGCAACCCUCGUCCUUAGUUGCCAAUAUUAAGUUAGGAACUCUAGGGAGACUGCCGGGGACAACUCGGAGGAAGGUGGGGAUGACGUCAAGUCAGCAUGCCCCUUACGUCUUGGGCUACACACGUACUACAAUGGUCAGGACAACGGGAAGCAAAGCUGCGAAGUGGAGCGAAUCUCAACAAACCUGGCCAAAGUUCAGAUUGUUCUCUGCAACUCGAGAGCAUGAAGGAGGAAUCGCUAGUAAUCGCAGGUCAGCAUACUGCGGUGAAUCCGUUCCCGGGCCUUGUACACACCGCCCGUCACACCAUGGGAGCUGGCCACGCCCGAAGUCGUUACUCCAACCGGAAACGGAGGAGGAUGCCGAAGGCAGGGCUAGUGACUGGGGUGAAGUCGUAACAAGGUAACC